AAUAAGUGUAAAUGGACUAAAUGCUCCAAUCAAAAUGCAUAAGAUAGUUAAAUGGAUACAAAAACAAACGUGACCCAACUAUAUGCUGUCUACAAGAGACCCACCUCAAAA